UGGCACCUACGGGAGGCAGCAGUGGGGAAUAUUGCACAAUGGGGGAAACCCUGAUGCAGCGACGCCGCGUGAGUGAAGAAGUAUUUCGGUAUGUAAAGCUCUAUCAGCAGGGAAGAUAAUGGCGGUACCUGACUAAGAAGCUCCGGCUAAAUACGUGCCAGCAGCCGCGGUAAUACGUAUGGAGCAAGCGUUAUCCGGGUUUUCUGGGUGUAAAGGGAGGGCAGACGGCAAGG
rnacentral:rRNA from 1 species